rnacentral:tRNA from 1 species
GGGCCCUUAGCUCAGUUGGUUAGAGCAUCGUCUUGAUAAGGCGGGGGUCGAUGGUUCGAAUCCAUCAGGGCCCA